UACGAAGGGGGCGAGCGUUGUUCGGAUUUACUGGGCGUAAAGGGCGCGCAGGCGGCAGACCAAGUCAGGCGUGAAAGCCCCGGGCUUAACCUGGGAGGUGCGUCUGGGACUGGUAUGCUAGAGUUCGGGAGAGGAGAGUGGAAUUCCCAGUGUAGAGGUGAAAUUCGUAGAUAUUGGGAAGAACACCGGUGGCGAAGGCGGCUCUCUGGACCGGUACUGACGCUGAGGUGCGAAAGCGUGGGGAGCGAACAGG
rnacentral:rRNA from 1 species